AUGAAAGAGGAAAGGCCAUCCACAAAAAACCAAAAUCCAAAAGCAAAAGCAAAUGGAGAAGGCAGCGCAAUAAGGCAAGAAAAAAUACUUUGCCUGUGUGUGCAAAAGUCUUCAGCUGCACACGCCGCCCCCUGCUCCAGAGGCGCCUGGCAGAGGCAAGUGGCACCUGGCGAGAGGAGGCCCUAGGAGACAUCAUCGAGCACCAGCCGCCGUCACGCGGAGGCCAUGGAAACGUACUCUGGAUGAAUGGAGGCCCACUGAACAUUUCUGAGGAGAGGAGCAGGAGCAGGAGCAGGAGCAGGAACAGGAACCGAAACUGAAACCGAAAGGAACCGGAUUCCCAAUCGAUUCAGAGCAAUCUGAAUUCUGAAGUCUGAGAUCUGAGGUCUGAAAGGAAGGAUACUUUAAAUAGCGCCGCGACUGUGGAGGGGCUUCGCUAUUGGUGGUGGGUGGGCGUCGCUAGUGCCAGUGCGUGCCACUUGGUGGCAAGGGGGCGUGGAACCACCGCAUCUGAUCGAAUCAUGAAGCAUUCAAGUGUUUCCAUACACAGGGACAUGAUGGAAUUCGGCUAACUGCAGCAGAAGCACUGCAGCAACUGUGAUCCAGCUCGAGGAUUACGCAGCAAUCAAAAUUUAAGAGCGGAACCGAACGCACAACCGCAGAAAGCAAUCCGCAGGACAUACUCCAAGUAUUCAAGUAUUCCAAUAGCAGUAUCAAAAGCGUAGUUAGAUUAGCGCCCAGUAGCCAUCAUCAUCAGACCACCACCUCAGACGCAGCGACGGCGGCUGCGACACCGAGACCCUAGCGGGUGACGCGGCCAUGGAACCUCCCGGUGGGGUGCCGCCCGACAAGGACCGACAGCUAGUGCUCAGAAACUCAGCCCAGUCGGCUCCCGGUUCCGUUUCCAUUGUCGUCGCCGCCCCGAAUGCCGGACACGGAACAACGUCGGCGGCUGCGAACCCUCAGCAGCAGUCCAGCAGUCAAUCCACGCACUUGCCACAGUCCAUUAAGCCGACGACACUGAGCCUGCAACCACAUGGAGGCGUGCAUGCCACGGCCACGGCCACGGCCACGACUACGGCCACGACUACGGCCACGCAGCUAUCUCCCUCGGCCGCCGCGAACAACAAUGCGGCGGCAACUGCCGCAACGGCUACGAGCAGCGGGAGCGGGAACGCCAACAGCGGCAAUAGUCCUGCGCUGGCGUCCACCGCCACGGCCAUAUCCGCCACAACGCAGGCAGCGACCGCAUUUAGCGGCAGUUCCGUGGGCCACCAUCACUUGCAGCACCACCAGCAUCCGCACGCCCAUUCACAGCCCGCAACGCACCAACAACAACUGCUGCACGCACUGCCCCAUCAGCAGUCCCAGGCGACGGCGCCAGCAGCGGCGCCAGCAGCGGCACCAGCAACGGCAACGGCGUCACACCACCACCAUCACAGCUCCAUCUCCGGGCCUGGUGGUUCGGGCAGUGGAGGACUGCUUGCAGGUGCGGGCAGCGGUUCCGGAGGUGGCAACCCACAGCAAACCAUUGAGAAGCUCUCCCGACCAAUGGCCUUCGACAAGAUGGAGGUGCUGGUGCGCGAGAUGCAGGAUCAAGAACAUGGUGUACCCGUGCGACAGCAGAAAAUGUUCCUUACAUCUAUACCAUACGCGUUUAUGGGAUACGAUCUGAUCGAAUGGCUUAUGGACCGAUUGCAAAUCGAGGAAUCGGAGGCCCUGAACAUUGCCAACCAGCUGUGUCUGCACGGGUACUUCUUUCCGGUGAACGACUCAAAGACGCUGACCGUGAAGGACGACUCAUCGCUGUACCGCUUCCAGACCCCCUACUACUGGCCGUGGCAGCACAAGGCCCCGGAUAACGUGGAGUAUGCCAUAUAUUUGGCCAAGCGAUCGCUACGCAAUAAACAGCGCCAUGCGCUCGAGGACUACGAGGCCGAGGCCUUGUCCUCACUGCAUAAGAAUCUGAAGGGCAAAUGGGACUUUAUAUCGAUGCAGGCCGAGGAGCAGGUGCGCUUGGCCAAGGAGCGCAAGAAGGGGGACAAGAUUGUUGGAGACUCGCAGGAGCGGGCCUACUGGCGCGUACACCGUCCACCCCCCGGCCAGUUCACGCCCCUGGAGCCCUGUCCGGUGCCGUCGCGCGACCGCCAGGGCUUCAAACCCAACAAGAAAAAGACUGUCGACGAUGUACAGCGAGAGGUCGACUACUUGGGCAAGUCCCUGAACCGAACGCGAAUGAAGAUGUCGCAGGCCUGCGAGUCACUGGUCUGCUACUCGGAGACCUUCAGUGAAUACGACUUCUUUCUGCAGCCGGCGCUGCCCUCGAACCCCUGGGUCACCGAGGACAUUACCUUUUGGCAGCUGAACAACACCUUCGUGGACAUUCCCACUGAGAAACGAGUGAAGCGGUGGGCCAUUUCCAUCGAGGAGCUGGUCUCGGAUCCGACGGGUCUGCAGGAGUUCACGACCUUCCUCGAGAAGGAGUACUCGCACGAGAACAUUCGUUUCUGGAUUGCUGUCAACCGCUUGCGUCGAUCCGCCCACUCCCAGGUGGCACGGAAGGUCAACGAGAUCUACGAGGAAUUUCUGAAGCCUGGAGCACCCUGCGAGAUAAACAUCGAUGGAAAAACGAUGGAAAGUGUGCUUCGCGGUCUCAAGAACCCAUCGCGCUUCACCUUCGACUCGGCCUCAGAGCACAUUUACAUGUUGCUACUGAAAAAGGACUGCUACCCUCGCUUUAUUCGAUCGGAGCACUACAAGCGUUUGCUCGACACUGGCAUCCAGCCCUCGUACAAGAAGCGUUUCUUCAAUUUCGGAGGCGUCAGCGGAGCCAAGAAGAAGAUGACAGCUGCCCUGUCCAGUCAGCCGAACCUGGGCGAUGCGGGGGGGUCGAAGGGGUCCAGCAGUGCGGCAGGCGGCACGGGCUCCAUGAUGCAGGCACCGCCACCCGGCAGCCUGGCACGGCGUCGUGGCAGCGACCGCAGUCUGACGGGCUCAGCGCAUGAGCUGGCCGUCAUUGGGGUGAACAAGGAGGCAGGUUCCAAGGUACCGCACUCCCAUUCCCAGAGCAAUCUCAGCGAGAUUCCCUUUAGUAGCGAUUCUAUUUAUCGAGGCGAUAUGCCGCAGCCCCAUCGCCACACGGCGAUCAUGGAUGUUGGGAUCUAUGCUGCCUACGGCGGGAAUCGCGAAAGUAGUUUACAGGCACUCCCAGAAAACCCAAAGACGAAGUCCACCGGUCUCGACACGUUGGAGUCCACCACAGCAUUAGCUGGCAACAGUAGCGCCGUUUGUCCCUGGGACGAGCCGGUGGCAAUACUUCCAGCAGCUCAGGUGAAGCUCUCUGUGUGUCCCUGGGAGCAGGAUACUGUGACAGAUCCAGCGCCGGCAACGGCAACGGCACCGGCGUCAGUUCCGGUUCCGGUUGCGGUACUGUCCAAGCAGACGGCUGUCACCGUACAGCCACUACGAUUGACAAGCACUUCGUCGGACAGCAGUGAUGUGGCUGAUCGCCUGCAGCGAAAUCUAGGCAUUCGACACCAAAACACCGUCGACAGUGGAGAAACGAGCAUCAAACGUCUGACUCCCAACUUUACGGAACAGCGUCGGGCAUCUGUAUCCUUCACUCCAAGCCGCAGCUCCGACUACCAGUUUGGACGCGCCGCCGGUGCAUGUCCGUCUACCACAUCCACCACGCCCACCGUAGGAAGCCAAAGCGCAGGUGUCGGCAGCAGUAAUCUCACGCCACUGCAGGCUAGGAGUGCCGUCUUUGGAGGUGCCAGUGGCGGCAGCAGCUUCGUUGCAGUUGCAGCUGCCGCCAAGGAUCAACAGCCACUGACUGGCUCGGAUGUGGAAACCGAAGUGGAGGAAGAACUAAACAAGCUGUCACAAGAGUCGUCGACAUCGGAGUUGCCUGUGCUUGUGACUCCCACACCCACACAGACCCCGCCGCUCAUAACAAAGGUCACGCCACCGCCCGAGGAGUACCUCCCCAUCCAAGCAGAUUCGAUGGCAAAUUGCUUGCAACAGCAGCAACUCGUUGAGAGCUGCGUGACACACGGGAAAGACGUGACUGUGGUAAAAGAGGUACAGAUCGAACUGAUCGAGUCGCGUGCCUACGAAAAAGAUCUGGCUACCACGACGCCCACCAUUAAGGUUCUGGAGCUAGUUGCGACUACUCCAGGCUCUUAUACCCGCUUACCCUCGGGCCAGAGUCAAGAAGCACUUACAACAACCACCGAGGAUGCCGCAUUGGCCGACGACGACGAAACGGAGCAAGCAGCCCCAGCCCAGGCGCAGGUACCCCUGUCCGAAGUGUCAGAGGCCUUACAAGAUGAGCUUUCACCCACCACCGAUGAGUACCAAGAAGGACUGCAGUUUGGCGGCAACGACACCAAGGACGUGGUCGAUGACUUUGACAGCAUAGAUAGCGACAUACAGCUCGGCUACAUACCGCCUGCUCCCACCCCUGCUCCAUCCAUGGCGCCCCUGGCUGAGUUGGACGUAGACACGAUGGUGGACGAUGAUCCAGCGGACGAGCCUGCCAGCAGUACAGAGCGUCCGGCAGUGGCAGUGGCAGUGGCAGUGGCAGCAGCAGUAGCUCCCACGGCAACAGCAACAGCAACAGCAACUCCGACAUCCAGCAAUGACGAGGCACGCAAGCGCCGCAAGAAACGAAACUCUGAUGGGAAAAAGCACAGCUCGCAGGAGGACAAGGAUAAGGAUGGUGGAAAAGAUGGAAGCGGAAGUGGCGGCGGCGGCGGCGGCGGCGUCGUCGAUCCGGAACACAAUGCAGUGUGCCCCUGGGAAGACGAGAACGUGAGCACUAGCGAUGGAACCUUCGUGAAGACAUAUGCCACAUUGGGCUACUUAUGAAUAAAACCAAAUCUGUUCAAGACGGUGGUCAACAAGUUGCUGAAAAGGAAGCCGCACAAGCAAAAAAACUUCUUCAACAUACAGAAAACUGAAAUGAGAAACGUCUAUGGGCACGUACCAGAUGUACUAUAUACAUAUAUGUAUGAUCUUAGUGUAUAUGAAGGAACAUACUCUUAUUGUACAAAAAUUACAAAUUCUAUACUAUGUACUCUCAUAACAAAUGAAAAAUGAUAAAUGAUAAAUGAAAAGCAACGUGAUGGCAACAGAGAAACCGAAAGCAUCUAUAAAUCUAGAAAUAUGUAUUUAAAAUCAAAUAAUCCUCCUCCAAUCAUAAUUGGCAUGUUUUGUGGUGAUCAACUGGAAAACUAAAGAAUAGACAACAAAAACGAGAGAGAAUACCAACACAAGGAUUGUAGACUCGACAACAAAACAGAUAGAUCUGUAAUUCAUUCAUGAACCUACAAUGCAAUAUACACAUAAAUGGAGUUGGAAUAACUGAAUCCCUAUGAUUAAUAAACAAGUAACAAGCCCAUUUGGGGAUCUACAAAGAACAAAAGGACAUCCCGCAUGUAACUUCCAUGGAAAUCGUAAGCAUUGUUUGAGCGUAGUGCCUUUUGCGUAGAAGUACACACCGACCGUUUAAUUUUGGGUUAUCCAUCAAGACAUUCGGCUUACAGACCGUCGUAGACAUAGACAGUGAACUGAAUUCAAACAAUAAAAUUAUAGUUCGGCCUAAUUGGCUGUCGUCUAUUUUGUGUGUCAAUCGUUUGGUUGUUCAAUAAGUUCAAUAAGAGUUCAAAAUUUCACAAGUUCAUU
rnacentral:misc_RNA from 1 species